ACCGGGGCGGGCGUGCUAAUACAUGCAAGUCGAGCGGACAGAUGGGAGCUUGCUCCCUGAUGUUAGCGGCGGACGGGUGAGUAACACGUGGGUAACCUGCCUGUAAGACUGGGAUAACUCCGGGAAACCGGGGCUAAUACCGGAUGCUUGAUUGAACCGCAUGGUUCAAUUAUAAAAGGUGGCUUUUAGCUACCACUUACAAAUGGACCCGCGGCGCAUUAGCUAGUUGGUGAGGUAACGGCUCACCAAGGCAACAAUGCGUAGCCAACCUGAGAGGGUGAUCGGCCACACUGGGACUGAGACACGGCCCAAACUCCUACGGGAGGCAGCAUUAGGGAAUCUUCCGCAAUGGACAAAAGUCUGACGGACCAACCCCCCGUGAGUGAUGAAGGUUUUCGGAUCGUAAAACUCUGUUGUUAGGGAAAAACAAGUACCGUUCAAAUAGGGCGGUACCUUGACGGUACCUAACCAAAAAGCCACGGCUAACUACGUGCCACCACCCGCGGUAAUACUUAGGUGGCAAGCGUUGUCCGGAAUUAUUGGGCGUAAAGCGCGCGCAGGCGGUUUCUUAAUUCUGAUGUGAAAGCCCCCGGCUCAACCGGGGAGGGUCAUUGGAAACUGGGGAACUUGAGUGCAGAAAAGGAAAGUGGAAUUCCACGUGUAGCGGUGAAAUGCUUAGAGAUGUGAAGGAACACCAGUGCCAAAGGCAACUCUCUGGUCUGUAACUGACGCUAAGGCGCGAAAGCGUGGGGAGCGAACAGGAUUAGAUACCCUGGUAUUCCACGCCGUAAACAAUGAAGUGCU
rnacentral:rRNA from 1 species